rnacentral:rRNA from 1 species
AACGCGGGGCGACCUGGCGACGAGUGGCGAACGGGUGAGUAAUGCAUCGGAACGUGCCCAGUAGUGGGGGAUAGCCCGGCGAAAGCCGGAUUAAUACCGCAUACGACCUAAGGGUGAAAGCGGGGGAUCGCAAGACCUCGCGCUAUUGGAGCGGCCGAUGUCGGAUUAGCUAGUUGGUGGGGUAAAAGCCUACCAAGGCGACGAUCCGUAGCUGGUCUGAGAGGACGACCAGCCACACUGGGACUGAGACACGGCCCAGACUCCUACGGGAGGCAGCAGUGGGGAAUUUUGGACAAUGGGCGCAAGCCUGAUCCAGCCAUGCCGCGUGCGGGAAGAAGGCCUUCGGGUUGUAAACCGCUUUUGUCAGGGAAGAAACG